rnacentral:rRNA from 1 species
UACUCGAGUGGCGAACGGGUGAGUAACACGUGGGUGAUCUGCCCUGCACUUCGGGAUAAGCCUGGGAAACUGGGUCUAAUACCGGAUAGGAGCCAUUUUUAGUGUGAUGGUUGGAAAGUUUUUUCGGUGUAGGAUGAGCUCGCGGCCUAUCAGCUUGUUGGUGGGGUAAUGGCCUACCAAGGCGGCGACGGGUAGCCGGCCUGGGAGGGUGGACGGCCACAUUGGGACUGAGAUGCGGCCCAG